CGGAGUAGGUCUGAACAUUUUGGCCCAGUAGUGUUGUGUUCGUUUUUCUGUAGUAUUAGUAGUAAAUAUCCUACUGACGUUCACGACGCGUGUUUUGGUAGGACAGAAUCGUUUGAGCUUGUCUGUGGUUCUGAUCAAUCCCCUGGUGAUAUCUCAUAUCCUGGUGCCUUUGAUUCUAGAGCCUUUAUGACAUCAUCACAUUAAGAUAACACAGUGUAGAAUGUUCCUUUUUAAAACAUUCCAAGAAUGUUAAAUGAUAACAAAGGAAGAACAUUCUAAAAGUAACAUUCUGAAAAUGUUCUGAUGAUUAUUGAGACCUCGGAUUACAGUUAUUUUUUUAAUAAAACGUACUUGUAAUGUGAUAUGUUAUCAAGGUCAUGGUCAAAUUUAUUUAUAGAGUGCUUUAAAAAAAAAAAAAAAAAGCCAGGUUUGUACCAAAGUGCUUUACAACAAACAGAAUUGAGCAGAAGUUAACAUAAGUUCUUAGAUAUAUAUAUAUACAAACAUACAAAUAUACUCUACAAGCAUACAUACAUACUUACGUAAUGCACACAUACACACGUGUACAUACAUCUAUGCAUAUAAAUAUAAAGUACAGUAUAAAGUAUCAAUUCACGAAUCGUUAGAGAGGAAAGCAAGGGAGUAAAAGUGGGUCUUAAGACACCGUUUAAAGGGCGAGUUCAUCUGCAUUUUCAAAACACCCACUCAGCCGUUAGCAAAAAGCAGUGACGUAGGUUACCAAAGUAAGCCAAUCAAUAAGCUAAUGAAUAGUGUGAACGCUAGCACUAGCUGAGUCAACGCUGAGCUAAGUUUGGAAAUACCUGACAGGGUUAUUUAAUGUUUUUUGAAGUGGGUAACAUGUAGAAUGAAACAUUGAUGCGAUCUACAUGAAACAAACAUGCCAUUAUUAUACUGAAACAAAAGUUAUGCCUGUAUAUUUUAGUACUCAUGCGGCAAUUCGUUGUACAUUUACAAAAGAUUACAGAGUAAUGUCUAGACAUUAGUAGUUACAUGUAAGUAUUGAUAAUAAACAUGGGGAAAGGUUUCAAGCUGCAUGUUGCCUUUAUCCCUGUUGCAUUGAUACAUAACUUUUGUCUGGUUUUCUAAUCAACAACUUAUAAUAGCAAUAACAUAAUCUUCACUAGUUGCAUGUUAUUAUAUUUUUUUGUGAUGGUCAGCACGGAAUCAAUUUGUAUGUAAUCCACAUAAUUGUGAACCGGGAAGUAUAGAGAGCGGCAAACGUCGCGUAGGGAGGACGUCAUGGUGGAUGGGUGGGUCAAAAAACACAGGACUUUCGCCCAGGAGACAGGUGUUCGUGUCCUCUUAAACCAUGAUCGAGGGAAACGAGGGAGUUUGAUGAAUCUGAGUUAGAACAUUCGUACAAGCAAACAAAGUACGAGAGGUUUCGGAUAAGAAUACAAAAAUGUUUUUGCAUGAGGCCCAAUGUUUUUUCUUUUUUUAUUUAUGUGAUGAUUUAUAAUCCCUCUACUCUCUGACACACUGCUCAACAAACACAGCUGUCACGAAAAAGUAAGAAAACCUGCUAAUAAUAUGAACACAAGUUUAUCCGGGCCCACUUGGAAAAAUUUGAGAUGCACUGUUUUCAAAUGACCUCGUGACAACGUGUGCCGAGAUGACCCGUCGCACAUGAUCCUAAAAAUGUAUUUGUGUGUGUGCAUAUGUACAUAACACACACACACACACACACACACACACACACACACACACACACACAAUGAAAACCAUGCCAUUCCAUGGAAACUUGCUGCUGGUUCCAGGACGUGAGACACUGUGGCCAAACCAGAUACAGGAAGUGAACGGCCGCCAAGUCAUGGUGGAAACUGGAGGCGGAAGCUAAGAAUACGACAGACCUGUAGGUCCAACAGUUGGCUGUUAUACGCAACGGAUAGGCAACCCCAGUCGCAUAAAUCCGGAGCUUUGACUAUUUCACAAUGUAUUUACUUCCUGUCUCAACAACCGCAGCUUAUCCAGACUUUGUUUAUGGACGAUGCAAAAAUUCAGACAGAAAAGAUCCAAACUGUGGCCGCUUUUACUAUUGUUAUAGCUCAGACAGUAAAACAGAUUUAAAGCA